GAGUAGUUUAAAGAUAGAACAGUCUAGCCAAGUGCCAUGUCUCUUAUUCUUGAUCAGCUAUAGCUCUAGACUUUUUGCAGAUUUUCAAAUAAAACUCAGAGAUUCCUUGUAUGACUCUCUAAAUCUCUCUUUUGUGGUAUUUCUGGAUCCUUACCAAGGUAGUGAUGGUAUAUGCCUUCUCUCAAGAUAUAUGGUAUUUGUGGUAUAAGGCAUAGUGACAUUUCCUUCUCUCUCACCCUACUCUAAUAAGGCUUUAAUAUCUGGAGCUCACAGGUGGGAGAUAAACUAUACAUACUUACAAGACAUUUAUUGUAUAGUCAAACCAUGGAUCCAAAGAAACAAAUCAAUAAGCCAAAUCAAGAUGUGCAUGUGUGGCGAAUGAAUGGUGUAUGGUGAUGAUGGUGAUAACAAUGGUGGAAGUCUAAUUCUACUUUUGCUCUUUUGAGGGGAUACAUACCUUCCUUCCUUUUUGAAACUUUAUGAGGAUAAUGAGAUGCUCUAUCUUUCAUUUUUCUUUCCUCUCAGGCGGGUAUCCUGUACCCCUAAUUCUAUUGUCGAACACUUGUCCAUUUUUACCUCUCGUCUCACUCUUUUUUUUUCUUUUGAGGUUCCGGGCACUUGCCCCUUUUUAUUUCCUCGUAUAUUUUUUUUCUCUCCCUUCUUUUUUUAGAGCACUCAUCUAAUGAGAUAAUAUAGCAAGUGGUAGUAACAAGAUAACUUGAGCAUUUAUUUCACAAGGAAAAACAGAAAUAUUUUCGGUUAUUCUCUCCCGGAUUAUUCGUAGAAUAUUUUUGGGUGGUUCUGGAGAUGGAAAUGAGUGGAUAUAUGUGGAUGGUACUUCCGGAGUAGAAGUAGCAUAUAUGAGUGAAUGUGCAAGUGAAAUCUUGAUUUAACCACAUGACAAGCUCCUAAGGGUCUACACAGCUUGACCACACUCAAUGCUCAUAAGGAGUAAAUAAUAAAUGUGUGGAUCAAAGUCUAGCAAGCAUGUAUAUAUGGCUGUGGUAGGAAUUUAAACUCUCAUCAUACAGGAACUCAUCAUGCAAUAUUUUAAAGAUUUUUCAAAGAUAAAAUUCUCCAGAAUUCUAGCAUCUCUAGGAACAGAUAAACAACAUCUCAACCUUCCCAUAUCAUAUCCGUUAACAACUUAGAUUUCAGAUCAAGUUUUCAUCCCACAAGUUUAGAUCUAGAGCAAGCUUUAAAUUAUAACAGUUAUGUCUAAACUUGAGAGAGAACUUCAAAUUUGCAAAUUAGGCAGAGCAACUAUUCAUCAUAUCCAUGCUAGAGUUUUAUUAUUAAGAUUCAGAUUAGCAUAGCCACUUUAUUUAUUUAUUUAUUAAACACACUAAGCAAAAGAUAUAUAUAAGCACAAAAUCUUUAUUUGGUUUUUCAUAGUUUAUGUAUUUUAAUAUUCUAAUAUAAUAUAAGUAUAAAGAUAGGUAGAAAUACUUAGCGAGAUAAAUAGGGGUGCUCUCACCCAAGCUGAUUUUUGACGUAAUUUCUCUUGAUGUAGCUAGCAGGUGGCAGAGGUGUAUUUGAAAGUUAGCAGCAUUCUGACAACGAUUAGAAUGUCCUCCGUCUGCUAGUCUUCUUGAUUCUUAAAUUCUGUGGAGCUCAAAUAGACAACAAAGCUUGUGGAACUAAUUAAGUGUUAGCAUAAAUAUCUAGCCUUCAUCAUGUUGAGCUUCCUCAAUAAAUAUUACUUCCUGUUUUUAUAUUUUUAUUUUAUAAAGCAGAAAAGAAAUAUUUAUUUUAUUUUUAUGCCACCACAGCGAAGGUACUUAUGGGUUUUAUGCCACUCGUAUACUCACAUGGGGCGUAGUAUUUUUUAACAUUUUUAUUUUCUUUUCAAGAUAGCAUGAUUAACUAAUAAUCUAUUUAAGGAAAGUAAAUAAUUAAAGGGAAAAGGGAAUGCAAAAAGGAUAAAUAUGGAUAACUACUGAUCUUACCUUUCGGCGAUGGUUCAAUGUUUUAAGUCUUCUUAACAAGACUUCUCACCGUGUUCAUUCUUCAUGUGAGUCAUUUGAUUCAGGUGCUUUACUUGGUAGAGUCUGAGAGUUAUAAAACUCCUCCGUGUUUUGCUCGAAGUGUACCUGCUCAUAGAGACAAGGCAAAGAUCAAGUGCAUGGGUCCUGUUGGUGGAAAACGCCAACAGAACCUAAAGUGUAUUUGUUCUUCUCUAACCCUAUGUAUAGUGAGCAGGACAAAGUUGAUGGAUGAAAAGUUCAUGAGUGUAGCACUUAUAACAUUUGUC
rnacentral:lncRNA from 1 species